GGCGCCAUCCCGGAGACGCCGCUGGACACAGUAUGCUUCAUAUAGCUCAUCAAUCUGGGCAGGUGAGUGGGGUGAUAUUGGGGGAAUUGAAACUCACUACUGGGGUUGCUCACCCAGGACCUAGCAUCCCCCUAUCUCCCACCCGCCUUGUGUGCACACUGCACACAUGUGCAUGCUGCACAUAUACCUUGCUGGCAUGGAACUCCAACCGUCGCAGGAAGCGUUCAAUGGACUUGACUUGCUGAGGGAGAGGUAUGUCAGGAGGGGCCGGAGGCCCCAAGCCCUUACCAUCCCCAAUGAGCCAAACUCUUCCAUCACCAUUCCCUACACACUUACCUUGUCCAAGUCAUACAGAAAGCCCUGCAGGGGAAGAUGAGAGGGGACACUUAGGGGGCAUGGGAAGUAUUCCAGCAGGGGCACAUGUCUACCCAGGCCCAUCUAACUCUUCUUUCACAGCCUUCCUCCCCCUCAUACCUCAGGCCACAGCCACUCCAGUCAAAGUAUGGACUGACCCAUCUUCCCUCAUGCCUGGCCUUAGGUGCAUGUUAGUGACAUAGGGUCUGGUCCUCAAGAACCCUCCCAUACGAAUCCCCCCAUCUCUUUCCCUGGGAUCCCUUCCCCGGGCCCACUCCCUUUCCUGCAACCCCUAGGAAGAGGUUCCCUCUACCAGGGAACUCCCAUUCUUCAAGACCCAGCAGAAGCGUUUCCUGCUCUGGGAAGCCCUGACCUGUUUCCAGAGAAGAACCAUGACUCUCUAUCAGAGUUACUACAAUAUAGUUUCCUGUCAUCACAUCUGUGGGGGUCUGACCUGCCCCACUGAAAGCUCCCAUGGGCAGAUACUGGGUCCCAGACAGAAAGCGUACAAAACCUGGGGAAGGUGGGGCUAGAAACCUGCCCAGCCUUUCCUGAUAUCCCGUAUUCUAGUCACAACUGGGCUAAAUCCAGGGCAUCCUUGUCAACCCUUUACUUACCAGCCGGGAAUUCCUCUUGGACUCCCUAAUCUGUCCCUGGAGUUUCUCCUGUUCUUGCUGGUGCACUUCCAAAUAGGCCCUGGGGAAAGGAGUGACUACAAGAAUUAGCUUACCUUUCCAGCCUCCAGCUGCCCGGGGUACAAGCAAGCAGUGGAAAGAAGAUAGGAGACUGGGGAAGGUUCCUACUAGCAGGAAGGGGAUGAGGGCUUAGGGAGGAGUCCUGGGAUAAGGCAUUGGGAGGCGUUCCUUACGUCAGGCCCUGCUUGAGCGCAGUGUACACCAGGUCCAGCCGCUCAGGCUGUGGGACCUUAGGGGCUGGGUGCGCCACGGAAAACAUCCUGGACACUCGGGAGAGCGCUGGGGGCUUCCGUGGGGGCCCCGGGGGACUGAAGGCCGGGAAGCUCCUGGAGAAGAGGCCACACUCAGAAAGGUACGAGAAGGAUCCCCAAUCCCUCACUGCACACCCAGCUCCAGCCCCGUCACACUCGCUUGACCCCAUUAGCCCCGCUCUGC
rnacentral:lncRNA from 1 species